rnacentral:tRNA from 4 species
GACCCUUUCGUCUAGCGGUCCAGGACACCAAAUUCUCUGUUUGGUAACAGGGGUUCAAAUCCUCUAGGGGUCGCCA